GAUGAACGCUGGCGGCGUGCCUAAUACAUGCAAGUCGAGCGAACAGAUGAGGAGCUUGCUCCUCUGACGUUAGCGGCGGACGGGUGAGUAACACGUGGAUAACCUACCUAUAAGACUGGGAUAACUUCGGGAAACCGGAGCUAAUACCGGAUAAUAUAUUGAACCGCAUGGUUCAAUAGUGAAAGACGGUUUUGCUGUCACUUAUAGAUGGAUCCGCGCCGCAUUAGCUAGUUGGUAAGGUAACGGCUUACCAAGGCAACGAUGCGUAGCCGACCUGAGAGGGUGAUCAGCCACACUGGAACUGAGACACGGUCCAGACUCCUACGGGAGGCAGCAGUAGGGAAUCUUCCGCAAUGGGCGAAAGCCUGACGGAGCAACGCCGCGUGAGUGAUGAAGGUCUUCGGAUCGUAAAACUCUGUUAUUAGGGGAGAACAAAUGUGUAAGUAACUAUGCACGUCUUGACGGUACCUAAUCAGAAAGCCACGGCUAACUACGUG
rnacentral:rRNA from 1 species